UUACGGUGAUAUCACGUUGAAACAUUGUUCCCGUACGAUCACCGAAGUUAAGCAACUUUCAGCUAGGUCAGUACCUAGAUCGGUGACCGCUUGGGAAUACCAGGUGCUGUAA